rnacentral:rRNA from 1 species
UACGGAGGGUGCAAGCGUUUAAUCGGAAUUACUGGGCGUAAAGCGCGCGUAGGCGGUUUGAUAAGUCGAUUGUGAAAUCCCCGGGCUCAACCUGGGAAUUGCAGUCGAGACUGUCAGACUAGAGUGUGGGAGAGGGUGGUGGAAUUCCCGGUGUAGCGGUGAAAUGCGUAGAUAUCGGGAGGAACAUCAGUGGCGAAGGCGACCGCCUGGCCCAACACUGACGCUGAGGUGCGAAAGCGUGGGUAGCAAACAGG